rnacentral:lncRNA from 1 species
AAGGUACCUCACCCAUGUGCGGCUAUUGUUCUUCGUUUGAAUGUCUUUUGGUUAUAUAUAUUAAACUUCAUUUUUUGUACACCUUCCUCCAUAUUGGCAUGUUCUGUUGUCUUUUCGUUUGCUCCAAGUGCAUCCUUUCUGGUAUAUCCGAAAUAGGGACUUGUAUUCUCUGAACGAUUUGAUAAAGAAUAUAUCAACAGUUAAAGAAUGUGGUUGUGCCAGGCCCAGUCGUGAUGAAUACAGAAGGCAUGACAGAAAAGGGUAUUAAGCGAAAGGCUGCAGUUCAGGCGCUCUUUUCCAAGCUCCUCUAUCUUUCUGAAGUAAGUUCUUCCUUCCAAUUGCUGCAACAAUUUAGGCAUGUUUCUAAAGGAAUCUAGUACAGUUAUGCUUUCAGGAUUAAAAGAUAUGUAUAUUCCUCCAAGUCCAAUUAAACAAACUCAUGGUUGAUUUUCUUGACUUUGCUCACAUGACAUGUUCCAACCAAAGAUUCACAAUGUGCAAGGCUAUGUGACUGUCAUGUGUCAUCAAUUGUGUUUUCUUAUCAUAUGUUUAAGAAUGUUUUGGAUUAGAUUGCGGAUGUAUUUUUCAUUGUAGAAUUUAUCUUACUUGCUGCUGGUGUGUUCCAGUUGGAGGAGUUUGUUACGAGUGAUAAUAGAAGUGCCUUGACCAUCAAGACAACUUUUGGUGUUACCGAGUAAGUCUUCAUACACUACUUUUUAAUUAUUGCUAAGCAUUUGAUAUUAUGUACUCGAUUUAUGGACUCAAAAGUUUCAUGUUGGGUUUUGUGAGAUCUCGAGUUGAGUUGAAAAGUAUUGUAUCAAGGUGGUUACUUUCUUUUUAUUUGCUGCAGCG